rnacentral:lncRNA from 10 species
ACUGUCCUCCAUGCCUAGAAAGAAACAGUCUGAGAAGGAGGGACUGGUGAUCAGGUUGCCACUUGCCUUGAUUCGGUGUUCCAUUUACUCAUUACCGUCUCCUUUCUGCCCACAGUGUUCACACCCUUUCCAGAAAUUCUUGGCUGGUAACCGCGAAACCGACUGGAGCAGGAGCUGGGAGAACUGGAGAAAACUGCUCUAAUCUCACUUGACUCCAGCUAGGAGCUGAUGCUGCAUCGUAAUAACAUUUGCAGAGCGCUUUCACAGAUUGGCUUAGGCCCAGCCUCACAACACCCCACCUCCCAGAUGGAUUCAUCUCCCUGAAAUCCUCACCUUCUUGAAGUUGACACUGGACCGUUCACCUGAUUAGCGCUCCCAAAUGGAUCAUCAACCCUUAGUCGUAGUGCUAACAGUGUUUAUCCUCUGAGUGAAUACUCAGAUUCGUACUUUGUGUGGUGCUGUCAAACCAUGACCUCAUUGACCUUCACAACCACUCCUUAUGAGGCAGAUUUAACUGUCCCCAUUUUCAAGGCGCUGGAGUGACUUGUCUGAGAUUCCUCCAGAA